AGCAGACAGAUGCUUUUGGUAGGUUUUUAUUUGCUUUUAAGGUCCUGCUCCUGCUGCAUCUUGGAGCAAUGAUGUGUGCAUAUAGGGGCUUUAAAUCAAAACUCUCAAUUCUUCUCCAAUUCCUUUGCCCUGGCAUAUUGGUGUGACUGUGUUUCUGGUUUGGGCUUUCUCCUGAUAAUAAGAUGAUAAUCUUUGUAACCUCCUGGGAGAAGGGCUUAUCCAUUUCAGCCUGCCGUUGUGAAAUGUGUGUGCCCAGCUCUGUGGGAGCUGGAGCAAGAUCCCAGCAGAGGAGGAGGAUUUCCUGAGGAGGAGUAACAUGUGCAGACCUCCCUGCUUUCUGCACUGCAAGUUGUGUGGUGACAGCAAGCUCCAAAACCCUGAAGUACAGCUGAGAUGUCUUAUCUGCCCUUCAAACUGCGAAUCCUUGGUUAAAGGGAGUCCUCACAGCCACCACCAGGCCCUGCCAACUUCUCCAGCUGUUCCCAGCUACUCCUGCAACAUUGGCAGCUUUCAAAGGCUCUAGGAUGCUGGGGCCAGCCGGGCUCGGGUUGCCCACCUGAUCCUUGCCAUCCGUGUCCUGCUGGCACAUCAUGUUGUGCUCCUGGCGCACAAAGCUGAAGCUGCUGCUCGCCACGGUGACCCUGACCAUCCUCCUCUCCUGGCUCUACCUCUUUGUGGGGAGCCUUGAAUAUGGCCGCUUCCUCCUGCUGCCACCCUGCCUGGGCGAGCAGCCAAGCCGGGAUGUGGAGCGGGAGGCUCUGGCCUCACGGGUGCGCAGGGUGGAGGAGGAGAACCAGCAGCUCCGCCUGCAGCUCAGCCAGGCUCAGAUGGAGGGCAGCGAUGGCAGCCCACAGUGGGGAACCUCUGCCGAGGAUGGAGAUCUCCCCGGGGGCGAGAGGAGCAAUCGCACAGCCUGCCCCAAGCAGCGGACAGUGCACAAAUGUGAGCUCCUGCAUGUUGCAAUUGUGUGUGCCGGGCACAACGCGAGCCGGGACGUGGUCACCCUGGUGAAAUCCAUCCUCUUCCACAGGAAGAACCCCCUCCACUUUCACUUCAUCACAGAUUCCGUGGCCCACCAGAUCCUCCAGACACUCUUCCAGUCCUGGAUGGUGCCUUCUGUACACGUCAGCUUCUACAACGCCGAUGACUUGAAGCCGGAGGUGUCGUGGAUCCCCAACAAGCACUACUCUGGCAUCUACGGGCUGAUGAAGCUGACGCUUACCAAGGCACUGCCCUCCAACCUCUCCAAGGUCAUCGUCUUGGACACUGACAUCACCUUUGCUACCGACAUUGCUGAGCUCUGGGCUGUCUUUGGGAAGUUUUCUGAAAAGCAGGUGAUUGGGCUGGUGGAGAAUCAAAGCGACUGGUAUUUGGGCAAUCUGUGGAAAAACCACAAACCAUGGCCGGCCCUGGGACGUGGCUUCAACACGGGAGUGAUCCUGCUCCUGCUGGACCGCCUGCGUCACCUGGGCUGGGAGCAGAUGUGGCGGCUGACGGCAGAGCGGGAGCUCAUGAGCAUGCUCUCCACCUCACUGGCCGAUCAGGACAUCUUUAAUGCGGUGAUCAAGCAGAACCCAUCCCUGGUGUACCGGCUUCCCUGCUUCUGGAAUGUGCAGCUCUCUGAUCACACCCGCUCAGAGCAGUGCUACACUGAGCUUUCAGAUCUCAAGGUGAUCCACUGGAACUCACCCAAGAAGCUGCGGGUGAAGAACAAGCAUGUGGAGUUCUUCCGUAACCUCUACCUGACCUUCCUGGAGUAUGAUGGGAACCUGCUGCGCAGGGAGCUUUUUGGCUGUGCCGGUCUUCCCAGCCCACCCAGGGACCAGCUACAGCAGGCGCUGGAGGAGUUGGAUGAGGAUGAUCCCUGCUAUGAUUUCCGCCAGCAGCACCUCACACAGCACCGCAUCCACCUGUUCUUCCUGCAGUAUGAGUUCUUGGCGUUUCCCAACCCUACUGAUGUCACCCUCGUGGCCCAGCUCUCCAUGGACAGGUUACAGAUGCUGGAGGCCAUCUGCAAGCACUGGGCAGGCCCCAUCAGCCUGGCCCUGUACAUGUCGGACGCUGAGGCUCAGCAGUUCCUGCGCUACGCCCAGGCCUCGGAGGUGCUGAGCGCCCGCCGCAACGUCGCCUACCACAUUGUCUACAAGGAGGGGCAGUUCUACCCCAUCAACCUCCUGCGCAACGUGGCCCUGGCCAACACGCAGACGCCGUACGUCUUUCUGACGGACAUUGACUUCCUGCCUAUGUAUGGCCUCUACGAUUACCUCAGGAACUCCAUCCAGCAGCUGGAUCUGCCCCAGAGGAAGGCAGCUCUCAUUGUGCCGGCGUUUGAGACCCUGCACUACCGCCUGACCUUCCCCAAAUCCAAAGCAGAGCUGCUCUCCAUGCUGGACAUGGGCUCCCUCUACACCUUCAGGUACCACGUGUGGCCAAAAGGCCACGCCCCAACAGACUACGCCAAGUGGCGGACGGCCACCAUGCCAUACCGUGUGGCAUGGCAGCCAGACUUCGAGCCUUACGUUGUAGUGAGGCGAGAUUGCCCCAGGUAUGACCAGAGGUUCGUGGGCUUCGGCUGGAACAAAGUAUCCCACAUCAUGGAGCUGGACGCGCAGGAGUAUGAGCUGCUGGUCCUGCCCAAUGCCUUCAUGAUCCACAUGCCCCAUGCCCCCAGCUUCGACAUCUCCAAGUUUCGCCUGAGUGCAGGGUACCGGGGCUGCCUCCAGACGCUGCGGGAGGAGUUCCACCAGGACCUGUCACGGCGAUAUGGGGCUGCUGCGCUCAAAUACCUCACCGCCGAGAGAAGCCUGUGACGCCCAGGGACAGUGGGUGCAGGAUACAAGCAGCACACUGGGAGGAUGCAGGGCCUCCCUCCUGCCCCUGCCCACCACUGCAGCCCAGCCUGAGGGAACGGAGUUGGCAGCACAGCCUCUCCAGCCCACCAAAGGGAUACCCAUAGAUAAGGUGGAGGAUAUCAGCUGCAAGAACAGGCAGUGCCUGGAGGUCAAGCUGCCACAGCCUUCCUGUGUUACAGGGGAACCUCCUUAUGCCAGGGGGUCAGCUCUCCUCUCUCCUCUCUUUUAGUAGAUGUGGGUUCCCUAGUCUUCACUAGCUCACUUGACCUUGAGGCCUGGCUUCUCCAGAGGCCUGGGAGCUGUGCCAUACUCUGUUCUGCCUCUGCUCAGUGGUGCCAGUUCCAGUCCUUGCAUACUCCUCUAGGGCUUUGGUGAGUGGGAGAUGAGGUGGUAGAUCAUCCCUCUGUGGAGCAGGCUCAGAGGAAGCUUCCCAACACCUGGGAACUCCAGCCAAGGGAGUACCAGGAGUUGUUGGAGACCUGGUUCAAGCACAGAUCAAGGCUAGUGGUUAACAGCGGAGAAGUAUUAUUACUCCUGAUCCGUAUGGAUGCAGUCUCCAGUGGAGUUGGCCCUAUACCGGUGGUGCUGGAGUCACCCAGAGCAGGAUGAGCUCCCAGAGCAGGACAGGCUGUCUGCUGUCCCCAGAAUGAGCUCCCUGGAUAGGCCAGCACCUUCCAGCUGGCAGCAGCCGUGGCAGUGACAGACCUGUCUUGUGUUGGCAGUGCCCCACAGGGCAGGGCUGUGAACCAUGGCCAGGAGCAAAACAGCAGCUUCACAGGCCAGUGCAUGCUGAGAGGAGUUUCUGGCAGGGACCACCCUGCUCCUCCCCAGCUCCCGGCAGCGCAGUCGUUGCCAUCAACAAUCAGGGAUGUGACUGACACUGGAAAAGACCAUAGCUGAGCACUGUGGCAGGAACCCUGUGCCAGGAGCAGCUUGACCGGACACUGUUCUACCACUAUCACACACUGGAGCACAGAGGAUGCAUUGCUUUCCUCACGCUGUUUAAAUUAUUUAAUACUUUCCUCAUAAGAAUUCAGUAAUUAGGGUGUCUGGGGUUCUUCUUUUUUAAUCCUUUUUUCCUCCAAGAUGAUUUUGCUAGCAGCCCUGGAGGCUCUCUGGGCCACUUGCUGCUGCAGCCUCUGCUGUUCUCUCCUUAGCUUUGCUCUGGGCUGCAAGAGCUAGAGCUAGCUCUGUGCAGGGGUGAGGAUUUCCGUCCAUGGUGGGAGUGACUAAGAGGAGCCAUACAAAGCACGGGGUGCCUGAACAGGUCAGCACUAGUAGGAUCCCCCCUUCCUGCUGGUACCUCGCUUAAGCUUUGCUUAAUGGAGUUUGCAAGGCAUGCUUUGCUUCUGUGGGGCUAUGAGAAGCA